ACUCACCCCCUCGUACGGGAUAUUCCGACAACACAAAAGGAACAACUUCUUGCCAAACAAAAGUAAACCAGAAUGAAAAGAGUGAAAAAGCUGGGUUUGAAGUGUGGUAGUUUUUUCUCUGCAGCAGUUAGGAUAGUUGUUUUGCUUGUUGACGGUUAUGUAUGGACCUUGAACUGGAACCACCCGCUCUGCCAGGUGGUGACCGGCCUUUUGUUGCCUCUGAUGACUCUUCUUCGAUGGAGAAAGUGGACUCACUCUCUCCAGAGGAUGCUCGUCGGACGAAGAAGCGCCCCAAGAUGGAUGGUUCUUCGGAUCCCUUCUGAGGGAGAAGCACCGUUUGGGAAGACUGUGAUUCACACCAAGGAGAUUCCAAACCCUUCUCAGGGGGAGGGUCUAUUGAGGCAAUCAGAUGGCACUAACGUGGGGUUGAUGGGGGACCGGCUCCACCCAAACGGUCCUAUAAGGACUCUGUGCUAGGGGUCGAUGAUGCUAUAGAGGAUGUCUUCCCCAAUUCGAGUUGUUCACAGGAAAAGGAAUUGAGGAGUUCGAGCCGAGCGAUGAAGAGGAUGAUGCCGAGGAUGAUAUGGUGGUUUGUCCUACCAUUCCUUUCUCCAAGGAGCAACUCAAGCGGUUUCAGGCUCCAUAAUGGAGUUCCUUGAUCAUGAAGGUCCUUGGACGUCGAUUUGGGCUACAUGUAUCUCGGGAAAAGGCUGGAAUUCCUGUGAAGCCUAAGGGGACAUGAAAGUGAUACGUUUGGGACACGACUAUUUCUUAGUCAAGUUUGGAAAUCUUGAUGAUUUGCUCUGAAUGAAGGCCCGUGGACUGUGCUUGGUCAUUAUUUAUCGAUGCGGGAAUGGGUACCGGAUUUCGAUCCAAUGGAAACUCUAAUUGACAGGACUGUUUUAGGGCACGGAUCCCAUUUUUCUCCAUGGAGUAUUAUAAUGAGGAAGGGCUGUAAGAGGUUGGUAAUCAUCUUGGUAAAGCCCUUAAGAUUGAUUUCAAUACUAAGGCAUUUGAGAAGGACAAUUUCGCAUGUCUUUGUGUGGAAGUCAAUUUGACUAGGCGACUUCGAGUGAAGUUUUAUUUACGUGGUAAGCGUUACCGUGUGGAGUAUGAAGGCAUCCUUCUUGUCUGUUUCAAGUGUGGCCGAUAUGGUCAUAAGCAUGACCUUUGUCCCUUGAAGGAGCCUGGUGUGGAACAAAUCUUCGGCUCUAAGGAAGUGCCAUGGGAGAACCUUCAUGCUCAAAAUGUUGGACAAGUGGAUCAAACCAAGCAUUCUACUGUUGUUGAGGGCGUUGCUGUCUCUACGGGGUCUGCAACUAAUCCUCCAUUAUCUGAUCCUUGUGGUCCUUGGAUGCUAGUGCAGAAACCGAGGAGGAGAUCUACGAGUGGAUCGGGUGGUGCAACUAGGAAUAAGGGGAGUUGACGAUGCUUCCAAAGGGACAGAAGUUUCAAGGGGAUCACGCUUUGCCGUUUUGGGGGCGGAUAGAGAGGAUGUUGGGGAACUGCAUAAUGGUAUGGUGACUCCUUCUGCACAAGCGGGAGUGGUGGGAAGUGGGAGUGAUUUAGCUAAACAGGUUCAAGGCCGGCAUCAAGCUAGUUGAGUCAAAAACCAGCCUGAGAGAGGCCCGACACAAUCUGGUAAACAGAAGGUUACUCAAGCCCAUUUUCAUAUCCCGAAGAAAGUGCAUGGUCAGGGCUCACAGUCUCUCACGGAGACUCAGAAAUUUCUACUACGCAGGAACCAAGUCGGUCUAGUCGGAGAGCAGAAUAAUGGGGCUGCAUCUACACUAAAUGGAGGACAUAAGAAGGUGGCGAUGGAAGAAUCUUCUGCAGUUCCUCCAGGUGCAGCCGUGCACCUUAUUUCCCACUCCAGUCACGGGUCCGAUUCUAAGGAACCUUCAGGGGUGGGAAAUAUUCCCACUGCAGCUUGUGCCAUGGAAACUGAGGCUCCGGGCCAAGUUGCUCUAUGGGCCAAAGGUCUUGAACCUAAGUACCUGAAGCCACCCGAUCCUGUUCUCCAUAUUCAGGAAACACUGGAAACUGGUUGCAGGGAUGUGUCAAUGUCUCAAUCUAGUAUUGAGGAGCAGGUACCGGACUCUCAAUGUCCAGGGGUGACCAAAUUCGGGUGAAAGUGUUCUUAUACAUCAGGAUGUCCACUUGGGCGACAUGAAGGAUUAAUGUAGUCUUUCUUUAUAUUAUUUCUGUUAUUAUGCAUGUUUUUAGCUGGAAUUGUCGUGGCACGGGGGAUAGGAGGUUUGUUCGUGAUGCAAAGGAGUACAUGCGCUCUGAUAAACCGAAUAUUUUUGUUAUUUUUGAAUCGCAUAUUAGCAGUCUAAUUGCAGACAGAGUUUGUUGUAGAUUCAGGGGAUUCUCGGUUAUUAGAGAGGAAGCACAUGGUUUCUCCAGUGGCAUUUGGGUCUUCUGGAACUCGACACAGGUUCAAAUCUCAAUUGUUCAUCGUCAUGAUCAAGCUAUUCAUUUGCACGUGGAGGGAAAUCAGAAAUAUUGGUUACUUACUGCCAUAUACAGGUCAUCCUGUGGAAGCCCGUAGGCGUGCUUUGUGGGAUUUUCUGGUGGGGUGCGCCCAGCACAUUUCGAUGCCAUGGCUCGUUAUUGGAGAUUUUAGUGAAAUCUUGUAAGCUAAUGAGAAACGUGGGGGAGCUCCUUUCAAUCCAACUCCGACUUUCCAGUUCCGUGAGGUCCUCGAGGCAAUGGACCUCGCUUCACAUGGCAAGGACCAGCAACUCGGGGAUAUGAAUAGGUGCUCAAGCGGCUUGAUAGAGCUGUUUGCAAUGCGGCUUGCCGCACUCUCUUCCCGGAUGCAGCUUUACGAGUACUCCCAAGAGUGAAAUCAUCAGAUCAUCAUCCGCUUCUGCUUGAUACUAGGGGGUUUGGUGGUAAAUGACCCUUUCGGUGUCUAGCGGCUUGGCAUUCUCAUCUGGAUUUCCCGAAUUUAGUGCAGUCGGUUUGGUCAUUUUCGAUGAACCUUUCAGCUAAUUUAGCCUGCUUCUGUGAGAAGGUCCAAGUCUAGAAUAAAGAAACUCUUGGUCACAUCAUUCGCUGAAAGUCGAGAUUGAUGGCGCAUCUUGCAGGGGCUCAACGUGCUCUACAAAUUCAACCGAAUAGGUUUCUUAUACAGUUGGAAGCUCAACUUCAAGCAGAACUGGAGGAUACCUUAGCACAGGAAGAGAUGCUCUGGUUUCAGAAAUCUCGCUGCCAAUGGGUCCAUGACGGUGAUCGGAAUACAAAAUAUUUCCGCACGGAAGCCAUUAUAAAUAGAAAACGAAUCGAGAUCUUAGAGCUAAAAAGAGGAGUCGGGAGCUUGGGUAUCAGAUCCAAUACGUCUAAAGCAGAUGGCACUCCAACAUUUUAACCGAUUAUAUACUGAGGAAGUGACGGAGAAUGGCAUUGAGUUGCCCAAUGGUUUUCCGGAGGGUGUGGCAUUGAGCACUGGAUGGACAGGUUUCUCUUGAAGAAAUUCUCAAAGCUCUCUUUGACAUGAAGCCCUAUAAGGCCCCCGGUCCGGAUGGAUUUCAGGAAUUAGUGCAUACUAUGAGCCGUAUCAAACAGGCAAGAAGUUUAUGUUGAUCAAAAUUGAUCUCGAGAAGGCCUAUGACAGACUUUGAUUGUCAUUUAUAGCAGAAACCUUGGAAUUUGCAGGAUUGCCUCCUAAUUUAAGGAGAAUUAUUAUGGAAUGCAUUACUACCACGACUAUGAGGGUACUACGGAAUGGUGAUUCUACAGGGAGUUUCGACUGAUCGCGGUAUUCGACAGGGUUGUCCUCUUUCUCCUUAUAUCUUUGUGCUUUGUAUGGAAGACUUGCCCAUCUUAUCAAUGAGGUGGUCCAUUACGGUCUAUGGAUUCCAAUGAAGGUGGGACGUCAUGGACCAGCCAUAUCGCAUUUGAUGUUUGCUGAUGACUUGCUUCUUUUGGCGGAAGCUUCGGUGGACCAGAUGAUGAGAAUUCAGGGUGCUCUACAUUGUUUUUGUGAGGCAUCGGGGCAGAAAGUCUGUCGUCCUAAAUCUUUGGUUUUCUUUUCUAAAUCUGUACCUCAGGAAUACAGGGAGCAGAUCUUGUAAGUGUGCGGUUUCACGGCUGCCACUUCAAUUGGCCGGUACUUAGGUGUGGCUAUCGUUCAUGGGAGAGUUGGCAGGGAACAUUUUCAGCAUGUUCUAAACAGAGUUCGAGCACGACUCUCGCAAUGGUCUGCUUCGACACUUUCCAUAGCGGGUCGGGCAACAUUGACUCAGUUGGUCUUACAUGGUAUUCCAAUGUUGACGACGCACACCAUGAAGUUGCCGGCUCGAUAUGCAGGGUUAUAGACAGUUUGUGUCGCAAUUUUAUAUGGGACAUAUAGCUGAAUGCAGAAAGAUCCACCUUGUUCGAUGGGAUGUCGUUACUCAACCUCACAAUUGCAGUGGCUUGGGGCUUCGGAGAAUUUAGGAGUUUAACGACUCGCAAUUGCAGUGGCUUGGGGCUUCGGAGAAUUGAGGAGUUUAACGAGGCAUUACUUGCUAAGCUUGGAUGGGGCUAUCUUACACGCCCUAGUCACCUGUGGGUUCGAAUACUUCGAAGUAAAUAUCGUCAUCGUGAAGGAGAGGAUUUCCAACUUCUGCUCUCUUCUUCUGAUUCUUGGUUAUGGAAGGGUAUUUCCAGAGUUUGGAAACAGGGUCUCUCAUGGUGCAUCCUGGGCAGUUGGUCGUGGGGUUACGGUGCGUUUUGGGAGGACAACUGGGUUCCUGGGGGAGGAGCGUUAUUACAUCGACCUUUAGGGCCUGCUCAUCCUCAGUUACGAAACAGAACAAUGAAUGAGUUUGUUCGUGUUGAUGGGUCUUGCAGUUGGGACACUUUCAGUAACUUACUAGAUAAUUAUACGUUGUUGCAGCUGGCUUCAAUCCGUGCCCACAGCAAAUUGCAGCGCCUGAUCGCCUGUUUUGGUCAAGAGAAAAUUCUGGACUCUUCUCUGCUAGAUCAGCAUAUUUUCUGUUGUUGCAGGAGGGAGAACAGGUGACUAAUCCUUUAUGGAAGUAUGUAUGGAAAUGGUCAGGUCCUCAAAGAAUCCGACAAUUUCUUUGGUUAGUCUUGCUAACAAAUGAGUACUGUAGUCGAAUUCAUCUAGCUGGGACGGAUGGGUGCUCUUUUUGUGCGGAUCAGGUGGAAACUUCUUUACAUGUUGUUCAUGACUGUCUCUGGCAAGAGACAUGUGGUCACGACUUGUUCCUCAGCAUUUGCAACCUUGUUUCUUUUCACAAGACUUGGGGCUUUGGCUAUAUCCAAUCUGCAAGAAGAAUGAAUACGGGGGAGGGAUGUUCCUUGGCUAAUGAUUUUUGGUGUCAGUUGUUGGUUACUGUGGACUUGGCGAAAUAGGCGGCUACUUGACCCAAAUUUCGCUAUGCCGGGCAGUACUACUGAGGUAGUUUUGAAGACUGCCAGCUCCUUCGCUAAAGCGAAUGAUGCCUCGAUCACUUCCCCCCAAGAGGUGUCGGGAAUGAAGGUGGAUAAAAUGGAAAUGGCCACUGAAUGGGUAUGUCAAACUCAAUACUGAUGGUGCUUCUUCAGGUAACCUGGAUUGUGCCGGCGCUGGUGGCUUAUUGCGCCAUAAAUUUGGUCAGUGGUUAUUCGGUUAUGUUCGAAAUAUUGGCAUAGCUUUCCGCUAUAGUGGCUGAGCUCUUAGUGUUUAUUGCGCCAUAAAGAUGGUCAGUGGUUAUUCGGUUAUGUUCGAAAUAUUGGCAUAGCUUUCGCUAUAGUGGCUGAGCGCUUAGUGUUCUCACGGGUUUGGAGUAUGCUCCGGAGUAUGGCUAUUGGAAUAUUAAAGUAGAAGUAAAUUCCGAAAUAGUUUGUAAGCUUAUUCUCAGUAGGGACCCAAGUGCCCCUCAUCUAUCUAUGCUGGUGGAUCUCAUUCGAGACUUGUUCGAUCGUGAUUAGAAUAUUGUAUUACAUCAUACCUAUAGAAAAGUAACUCUUGUGCAAAUUGAAUAGUCAAAAGGGCUCUGCAGAUGCCCUUCAAUUUUCAUUUCUUUUGGUAUCCACCGUCUGCAUUA